rnacentral:rRNA from 1 species
AGCUGAAACUGCAUGGCCAGGCGUGGUGUUGCCCCGAGUAGGGCCGGGCUCGUGGAAUCCGGUGUGAAUCUGCCAGGACCACCUGGUAAGCCUAAAUACUUCCUUGUGACCGAUAGCGGACUAGUACCGUGAGGGAAAGGUGAAAAGUACCCCGGGAGGGGAGUGAAAGAGUACCUGAAACCGUGUGCUUACAAUCCGUCGGAGCCUUGAGGGGUGACGGCGUGCCUAUUGAAAAAUGAGCCUGCGAGUUAGUGGUCGGUGGCGAGGUUAACCUGUGUGGGGUAGCCGUAGCGAAAGCGAGUCUGAAUGGGGCGUUGAGUCGCCGGCUCUAGACCCGAAGCGAAGUGAUCUAUCCAUGGGCAGUGUGAAGCGCGGGUAAGACCGUGUGGAGGCGCGAACCCACUUCAGUUGAAAAUGGAGGGGAUGACCUGUGGAUAGGGGUGAAAGGCCAAUCAAACUUCGUGAUAGCUGGUUCUCCCCGAAAUGCAUUUAGGUGCAGCGUUGCGUGUUUCGUGCUGGAGGUAGAGCACUGGAUAGGCGAUGGGCCCCACCGGGUUACUGACCUUAGCCAAACUCCGAAUGCCGGUACGUGAGAGCGCAGCAGUGAGACUGUGGGGGAUAAGCUUCAUGGUCGAGAGGGAAACAGCCCAGAACAUCAGCUAAGGCCCCUAAGCGUGUGCUAAGUGGGAAAGGAUGUGGAGUUGCUGAGACAACCAGGAGGUUGGCUUAGAAGCAGCCACCCUUGAAAGAGUGCGUAAUAGCUCACUGGUCAAGUGAUUCUGCGCCGAUAAUGUAGCGGGGCUCAAGUACACCGCCGAAGCUGUGUCACUCCACUUUUGUGGGGUGGGUAGGGGAGCGUCGUGUGGCCGGUGAAGCUGCGGGGGAACCCAGUGGUGGAGGCUAUGCGAGUGAGAAUGCAGGCAUGAGUAGCGAAAGACGGGUGAGAAACCCGUCCUCCGAAUGAUCAAGGGUUCCGGGGCUAGGUUAAUCCGCCCCGGGUUAGUCGGGACCUAAGGCGAGGCCGACAGGCGUAGUCGAUGGAUAACGGGUUGAUAUUCCCGUACCGAUAGUGUGAGGACCCAUACCGAGGCGUGUGAUGCUAACCACCCGAGCUGCUGCUUCCUUCCCUUUGGGUUGGUUGUUGGUGGUGAGGCUGGGAACCAAGUGCGUAGUAGGUCAGCGUGUGGGAUGACGCAGUGAGGUAGCUUCCGCGGGGUAAUGGUUGUCCCCGUUCAAGCGAGCAGCCCGAGUGCGAGUAAUGUUGUGCUCUUGUGGGUGAGUCGUGAUGAGGACCCUUUAUUGGGGUAGGUGGGUGAUCCUGGACUGCCGAGAAAAGUUCCGGCGUGACGAGCACUAUUGCCCGUACCCUAAACCGACUCAGGUG